rnacentral:lncRNA from 1 species
UGGUGAGAGCAAGAUUUGAAUUCAUUUAACCCGUUUGCUUCACAGUAUUCUCCAUUCCUCUACUUUUUCGGAGUAAGAAUUUAAGAGAUCCUCUUUUUAAUAAAAUAGAUUUUUACAAAAUGUAAAGUUCUUCUCUCACUUACCAACUUUAAAAAUCUCUAAGGAGGACUUUAGAAACUGAAGAUCAAUUCCUGAUACCUCCAUGUGAAUAGCUUUGUAACUCAAUGUGGUUUUUCGUUUUCUUGUUUUUUUUUUUUCCUGAAAACAAAAUUCAUGUCUUGAAAAGGAACACCAAAAUUCCAACUCCACAACCUUUGGGAAGUCCCCCAUGAGCUGCUUGUUCACGGAUUAGCACCUAGCUGCAGCUGAGAGAGAUUCUCACAUGCAGGAGAAUCAGACUUGUGUCCUGGACUUAGCAAAGCAUGAUCACACUCUUUGUCCUUAUCUACCCAGCCACAGCUUCCAGUGCAAGUGUCCUUGUGCCCUGGUGCCUGAUAUCCAGCUCCGGCAGCCUAGAAAAUCAGUUAGGCUUUUCAGUCACAGCACCCUCUGUGACAAACGUGUGGAGCACCGCACGACUUCUUCAACCAGCUGGUUUUUCUGGCAUUCGAAUAAAAGUAAAAAUAGAAAACAAAGAGGGAGAAGAAAAGUGACAAGCUGAAACCUGCGAAGAGAAAGAGGACAAGAAAUGAACAAGUUGAUCUGGUCUUGAGGGAGGAGGAGGCACAGGAACACAGUAAAGGAACCUAUCUGAGGAGCUGCAGACAUGAACCAACAAAGCCAGAAGAGCCUGAAGCAAUACUGCAAGUGGGUGCUUUGGUACUGCUUUGAAGCAUCUUUCCAGACUCUGCAGUAGCCAAGGCCUGUGACUCCAGUCCCUGAGAAAGUACCAUCAGGAGCAAUACACAAAUUGCUUACCAAUAUGGAAAUCACCAUAAAGUAAUCAACUGCAACACAUUCUUUGACAUGAGAAGGGAAUUAGAAGAAAGGAUUGCUUCAAAGAGUUUGGUAGCACACUUUAUAUAAACCCCCCUUUUUUUAAUUAACAAAAUGGUUUGGAGUCAUUUUUCUACCACUAGGUAAUUAUGUGAGUGUGAUCUAUAAUCUUCCUCCUGAAAAUUGUUUAUGUCCUAAUUCCCAGGUCAAAUUGAUAGACACCUCUCAAACCACGUGAUAUGGUUUGGAUUUGUGUCCCUGACCUCUUAAGUCAAAUUGUAAUCCCCAAUGUUGGAGGAGGGACCUGGUGGGAGGUGAUUAUAUCAUGGGGGCGGAUUUCCCCCUUGCUAAUCUCAUGAUAGUGAUGAGCGAGUUCUCAUGAGAUCUUGUUGCUUAAAAGCGUGUAGCACCUCCCACUUCUAUCUCUUUCUCCUGCUCUACUUAUGUAAGAUGUGCCUGCUUUGCCUUUCGCCAUGAUUGUAAGUUUCCUGAGACCUCCCCAGCCAUUCUUCCUGUACAGCCUGCAUAACCAUGAGCCAAUUAAACCUCUUUUCUUUAUAAAUUACUGUUUCAGGUAUUUCUUUAUAGCAGUUUAAGAAUGAACUAAUACACCACCCAAUCAGCAAGGCUUUAAAUAAGAAUAAUGCUUCCACACCAGGACUUCCCUAUUCUCAAGAGGACUUUGAGGUUGACUCUGAGGCUUCUAAUUAGAUAACAGUGAUUCCUAGGGCAAGAAUCACUUGCAUGCUGAUAAAAGCCAGGGAGGCUCAGAGAAGCUAGAAACAACUGGAUCAUCAACACAAACUACUGCACUCCACUGGAAUUGAACAAAGACCUUUGCUGAAAUGCCCUAGCCAGCAAGAAAUGGUAACAUUCAGAUGAGAGAUGACCUUCAAGCAAGUACUGGUUAGAGUAUACAUGAGAAGCUAAAGGAAACCAGAAAAAUGAGAACCAUUUGAUUCUCUACAUACAAACUACCUAUGGAAGCCCAGAGAAAUGACUUCUGGCUUAGUAGUUUGCAGCCACUCUCACUCCUCCAAAAUUUGCAGUUUAAAUUUUCACCGUCUCCAACCUCAGGUCUAAGUUCCUCAAGUAGUAUAAAACAUGGAAACAGUAAUAGAUGGAGAAAGAAAGUAAAUUGAGAUUCUUACUCGAGGGAAUUUAUAAAAUUCAGUAUCUAUGAUUCAACUGUAGCAAAUGUAAUUUAACUUUUUUUUUAAGUUUAAUAACAGAGCAGCUUCUCUGUAAGCCACAAAGUUGGCAUCUGAAAAAGUUCUGAUAAACAGUUCAAGCUGUAUGGAAUGUCAUCUCUAGUACUUCUUAAUGCUCUUUAUUUGGUAUUUUGCAUGGUGUGAUGGAAUCAUUUCUUUUUCUUUUACCUGGCAAUGUAAUACUAUCUGUGAAUUCUCAUGGGUUCUAAGAAUAUGAAAAAUAACUUGCAAAAUGAUGUUUUCAGAUAUCUUUCUAGUCUAUGUUAAUAUAAAAUAUCUCACCUUCAUGUUUGAAGCUCUCCAAUCAAAAUGUGCAAAGAGAAGGAAGUGGUUUUAAAGUAUGGGACUUUCAAGGAAUGAUACAGGACUGUGUGGGGCAUGGCAUGUAGGCUUAGGAUAGUAUGAGGGAAGUAAGUGUUUAGAAGUUGGAAAGAAAAGCACCAUGAUGUAAGAGAUAAACCAACAAAAGGUAUGGCGGAUGCCAAGCAGAAACUGUCCAUCUCCAUAUUUAUUAAGGAUCAUCUUGUACCCAAUAAAGUGGGUUUUUUUAAACAGAUAUCUUUCAUUUAUACCAGGUUUCAACCUACUACCUAUUAUGGCUUCUAAUCUUGUCCAUUAAUUUGUGUGUUUUUGUCAAUUUAAUAAGUUUUAUUAGCUAGUUUAUAAAUAGGAUUUUGUGGAGCAGUUUGGAAAUUCAACCAUCACUGACUGUGUUGCUCCUAUAAACAAAUUACAGUUCAGAUUAAAAAAAAAACAUUUAGAACACACUCUAUUUAAAAGUCAAGAGGCUGGUGGGGAGAGGAAAUGGACAGUUAUUGUGUAAUGGAUAUAGAGUUUCAGUUUUGCAACAUGAAAAAGAGUUCUGGAGAUAAAUGGCAAUGAUGGCUGUACCACAUUAGGAAUAUACUUAAUGUCACUGAAUUGUAUAUUCAAAAUGGUUAAGAUGGUAAAUUUAAUGUUAUGUAUAUUUUACCAUAUUAAAA